UACGGAGGAUCCAAGCGUUAUCCGGAAUCAUUGGGUUUAAAGGGUCCGUAGGCGGUCUUAUAAGUCAGUGGUGAAAGUUUUUAGCUUAACUAAAAAAUUGCCAUUGAUACUGUUAGACUUGAAUUACUUGGAAGUAACUAGAAUAUGUAGUGUAGCGGUGAAAUGCUUAGAUAUUACAUGGAAUACCAAUUGCGAAGGCAGGUUACUAUGAGUUAAUUGACGCUGAUGGACGAAAGCGUGGGUAGCGAACAGGAUUAGAUACCCUGGUAGUCCACGCCGUAAACGAUGGAUACUAGUUGUUUGGCCGUAAGGUUGAGUGACUAAGCGAAAGUGAUAAGUAUCCCACCUGGGGAGUACGAACGCAAGUUUGAA
rnacentral:rRNA from 1 species